CGAAACUGCUCACAAUGUCAUAUAUGACUUAUUUUUUUACAUAGUAUAAUACACUAUACCAGAGUCCAGAAGGACAGAGAUACAUAUAGGACAAGAGUCUCGAGCUUUACAGGCUCAGACCAGAAUAACCAUAUUCUUGCCCUCAAGGCCACUAUAUUUUACAAAACCAUAUCUAACAUUAUACUAGUACGCAACCACUCUUAACAUAUGCACAUGCUGAGAGUAAGAGUUCUCAAAUGAGUUUUAAAACACAAAACGAAGAUCAAGACACGAUCUUCGAUAUCUACAUGGCGUCGUCACCAUGAUGACCAACCCUGGAGAUCGAUGAUACCAUUUUGUAGAUUUGCAGUGUGUAAACCGAUAAAGCGUAAUGUCACUCUGAAAUGGAAAGUAAGGGUCAGUGCUAAUCACUAAGUAAGGAUCUCUGUCUUAGUCACUCUAAGGUACACAUAAUCAUGUAAAAAGUAUAUGGAAUAUAACACAUAAGGCUAAUUCUAUAAUCUAAUUCAUAUACAUAUUUUAUUUGGGAUCCCGACUCGCAUAUGCUAACGACCCACGUAGAGUUAGUGUGGCACUUACCAAAGCCCACAACAAUAGUUAGUUGUGGCGCUUACCAAGGCCCACCGCGUAACAGAAGUGCAAUAAGCACAAUCGCCAGCAUACGGGCCCUAACUAGGUGAUCAAUCAUAGCACGAGGAGAUUUCUCAUCAAUAUGAUGAUGGGAAUGGAAACCAGAAGCACGACUGGGGAGAGCUUGCUAAACUUAAGACACGAAAUCCGCGGGCUUAUAUUCUAUCCUAGAGGGAGCCCUUUUAGUUUACCGGAUUUAUUCACUAAUCAGUAAUUACUACUGCUUAGAUUAACAUAUAUAUUAAAUCAUAUAUAUCAGCAAAGUAAAAGAACAUGUAUCAUAUUAAGUCAUAAAUAUGGUAAAGAAGCAUAUACAAUCUUAGGAUUAAACAGUCAUUAUCCUAUCAUGCAUAUGACAUUUAAUAAUAAUAAACUCAUAAUGGAACGUCUAACCCGGUCGGAUAUGCCGGAGACCCUCACCAGAAUUAAUCCUUGAGAAUACCGAUAUAAGCUUCCGAGUCGAAACCCUAUUCCCAAAUGAUCUUGAAGCAUGAACUGUGUAUACUACUACCCACUAUAGCUUCUUCCAAACCCGCUACUUCUCUCUGUAUUUCUAUGUGUUCUCCUUAUUUUUGCCAACUAGGCAAAUAACAA
rnacentral:lncRNA from 1 species